GACGAACGCUGGCGGCGUGCCUAACACAUGCAAGUCGAACGGAGAUAUCCCUCGGGGUAUCUUAGUGGCGAACGGGUGAGUAACGCGUGGGUAACCUGCCCUUUUAUCGGGGAUAACUUGCCGAAAGGUGAGCUAAUACAGGAUGUCCUAUUUUGAUCACCUGAUUAAGAUAGCAAAGGUGGCCUCUUUAAAUGGUACCGUCAAAGGAUGGACCCGCGUCUGAUUAGCUAGUUGGUGAGGUAACGGCUCACCAAGGCGACGAGCAGUAGCCGGCCUGAGAGGGUGAACGGCCACACUGGGACUGGGACACGGCCCAGACUCCUACGGGAGGCAGCAGUGGGGAAUCUUCCGCAAUGGACGAAAGUCUGACGGAGCAACGCCGCGUGAGUGAUGAAGGGCUUCGGAUUGUAAAACUCUGUUUUUUGGGACGAACGGCUCAUAUGUGAACAAUGUAUGAGAUUGACGGUACCAAAGGAGGAAGCCCCGGCUAACUACGUGCCAGCCGCCGCGGUAA
rnacentral:rRNA from 1 species